CUUCUAACUCAGGUUAGACCCCGUGACAACUCUCAUGAUAACCCAGGACUACCCUAACUGCAGUUAGCCCAGAGCUGGGUGAAAACAGGCCUUUGCCUUCCAGGGUCAUGGCCCUCCUCCCAGAUUCAGGAGCAAAGAGCAGCUAAGAGGCUUCGGGAACGUCGUGGACUCUGGUCUGGCCGGUUUGGGAAUUGUUUUCUUAUCUGUAAACUGGGCUCAGCUCGCCUGAUGCUGAGAUCCUGGGUGGCAGGCACUCCUAGCGCUGUCUACUGGGCUGAUCCGGGACCAGCUGGAGCAACCGCCUUUGCGUUCAACUUUGCUCGGGGUGGAACAGGGAGGGACUGAGAGGACAGCCGGUGAGGCUACCGUGGAGUGACCUUGCCGGUGGCAGCCGCAAUCAGGUGAGGCCCCAGCCCGGAUCUUCCAGAUGUCAGAUGUUGGGAAAGUCCUAUCCAGCUUCUCCUGUCUCUGUGCACAGUGACGGCGGACCCUGCUACAUACCUUUAAUUCCAGCCCCGGGAGGCUCUCACAGUGAGACCAGCCUGGGCUACACAGCUCCAAGCCGGCACAGUCUACAGAACCAGAUCUGUCUCAGACACCUUUGUAAGGAAAGAAGGGAGAAGGGACCAGACCCGAUCCGGUCCCCGGAGGGUAACGACCCAGGCCGGGCUGACUGAGAAGCUCUGUCCUGCAGACCAGUGGGGCGCUCCGCAUUUGAAACCUGUAUUCUGGAAGCGGUGACCCGCGCUUAGGCCAGCCCCCUCACGGGAUCCCUGCAUACCCCUCUAACGGCCUGGUCGUCUUUAGAAUGAGGGAGGUCUGUGCACGCAGGUGAACAGGGACCAGGGCGUGCCAGACGCGCGCAGCGCCUCCCCGGCCUGAGCCCACCGCGCAGGCCAGGCCCUGCUGGAAGAUAGCGUGUAGGGGGAGGAGAGAGGAAGCCGGCCAGCUCUGCAGACACCAGGUCCUAUUCAGGGCUCCUCCGUCCUCUGAUGUCAUGCGCUUCCUGCUUUCGCACUGCGGAGUCUGGAGACAAGGCUGCUUCUCCCUGCUCAUCAAGGCGGCUUCUCUAUGUAACAGAGAAAGAGCAUCACCAAAACCCAAAAUGAAACAAAGCAACAAACAACUGAUGAAGAUGCCGAGAACAGGAGCUCUGUGGAGCCAGUGAAGCCACCUACAGCCAGCAACUGCGCCUCAGGCUCAGGGGUCACUGCGGGAGCGAGAGCCAGAGGAACAGGAAGUUUGCUGCAAGAUAGUGUCUCCUAGAAGCACCAGAGUGGCUACAGGCGAGAUGUCUAUAGCCGAGAUGUCUCCUCAUCACGGCUGCCUAAACAAGAACUAGAUGACAACCCCUGCAUCAGACAUGCUAACAUGGAAGGGAAGCUCCAGGGGCCUCAACCCUAGAGAGAAAACUGUGGACAGCUAGGAAUGCUGGGGGCAGGAGAGAUGUUCUUCUCUAGGAAAGAACACAUCAGUGGGUUAUCCAGUACCAAGUGGUCAGCCCUGACGUUUACGCACAGGAAAUGUUAUCAAGACCAAGCAGUCUGGCAGCCUAUGGAAAGAACAAAGAAGAAGGAAGCCUCUCUGUGCCUGCUUGGAUUCACUGCAUCAGAGAGUCGGGACACUGACACAGCCUGCACAACAGUGAGAUGUCCAGCCUCCAGGACUGAACAAACUACUGGAUUCUUGGACUUUCCACUGGAGACAGACAUUAUCGGACUGGCUGGACCACAGCCCGAAGCCACUCCAAUAAAUCUCCUUUAUAGGUAUGUAUAUGUGUGUUCUAUCAUUCUGUUUCUCCAGAGAACUCCAGUUAGCCCAAUAUAUGUGAAUGUAUAUACUUGACAGCAAUUAAAGAAAUAGAGGCCAUGAACUUGAAAAGCAUCGGGGGGUACAUGGGGGGACUGGAAGGAGGAAAAGGAAUGCAGGGAAUGAUGUAAUUAUAAUUUCAAAAAAUAAAGAAAUAAUAAUAUAAAGUUCAAAUAUCUGUGUCAGCUGAAAACUGCGCAUCCAUUGCUUGUCCCCUUUGGAAGCUGCUUGUUUGGGGGAGGAAAGAUCUACGUUUAGAGGUCACUGCUGAGACAUCUCUGAGUUGUCAGGAGGCCAGAGGCUAAGCGAAACCAGUGAAGAAGAGGUACAUAAAGGACCUGUGGGUCUCCAUGGUGACAGCUAAGAUGCAUGUUAAAUGUCCUCAUUGAGCACAUUGCCUUCCUCAGUAAGACCCUGAGAUAAUCAUCUCAGAUUGCCUGUCGUCUCCAUUCUCUCAGCUCAGAGGAAGACUCUAAGUGUCA